rnacentral:rRNA from 1 species
AGGGUUUGAUCAUGGCUCAGGAUAAACGCUGGCGGCGUGCCUAACACAUGCAAGUCGAACGUCCUUUCGCGCAAGCGAGAGGGAGUGGCGGACGGGUGAGGAACACGUGGGUACCUACCCUAAAGUGAGGAAUACCGGCGAGAAAUCGCCGACAACACCGCAUAGCUUUCUCGGAUUGGGAAAGAAAACCGCUUUGGUGGUGCUUUAGGAUGGGCCUGCGCCCGAUUAGCUAGUUGGUGGGGUAAGAGCUUACCAAGGCGUCGAUCGGUAGCUGGUCUGAGAGGAUGAUCAGCCACACUGGGAUUGAGAACGGCCCAGACUCCUACGGGGGGCAGCAGUGAGGAAUUUUCCGCAAUGGACGAGAGUCUGACGGAGCAACGCCGCGUGCAGGAGGACGGUUUUCGGAUCGUAAACUGCUUUUCUUGGGGACGAGAACGGACGGUACCCAAGGAAGAAGCCCCGGCUAACUACGUGCCAGCAGCCGCGGUAAUACGUAGGGGGCGAGCGUUGUCCGGAGUUACUGGGCGUAAAGGGCAUGCAGGCGGUCGUCUGCGUCGGCAGUGACAGCUCCCGGCUUAACUGGGAGAGCGGUGCCGAAACGGGACGACUUGAGGGCCAGAGAGGGACAGGGAACUCCGGGUGGAGUGGUGAAAUGCGUAGAUAUCCGGAAGAACACCAAAGGCGAAGGCACUGUCCUGGAUGGCACCUGACGCUCAUGUGCGAAAGCUAGGGGAGCGAACGGGAUUAGAUACCCCGGUAGUCCUAGCCGUAAACGAUGACCACUAGGCGUGUGGGGUAUCGACCCCCUACGUGCCGACUCUAACGAAAUAAGUGGUCCGCCUGGGGAGUACGGUCGCAAGAUUAAAACUCAAAGGAAUUGACGGGGACCCGCACAAGCAGCGGAGCGUGUGGUUUAAUUCGAUGCAACGCGAAGAACCUUACCAGGGUUUGACAUGUAGGCGAUCAUCCUAGAGAUAGGACUCCCUUCGGGGCGCCUGCACAGGUGCUGCAUGGCUGUCGUCAGCUCGUGCCGUGAGGUGUUGGGUUAAGUCCCGCAACGAGCGCAACCCCUGUCGUCGGUUACUGGUGUCCGACGAGACUGCCGCGAUCAACGUGGAGGAAGGUGGGGAUGACGUCAAGUCAGCACGGCCCUUACAUCCUGGGCGACACACACGCUACAAUGGCUGGGACAAAGAGACGCCAACCCGUGAGGGGGAGCCAAUCUCACAAACCCGGUCUCAGUUCAGAUUAGAGGCUGCAACCCGCCUCUAUGAAGUUGGAGUUGCUAGUAACCGUAGGUCAGCACACUACGGUGAAUACGUUCCCGGGUCUUGUACACACCGCCCGUCACACCACGAAAGUCGGCAACCCCUGAAGCCGCUGGGCUAACUCGCGAGAGAGGCACGCGUCGAGGGUGGGGUCGGUGAUUGGGGUGAAGUCGUAACAAGGUAGCC